CCUACGGGAGGCAGCAGUGGGGAAUAUUGGACAAUGGGGGAAACCCUGAUCCAGCAAUGCCGCGUGGGUGAUGAAGGCCUUCGGGUUGUAAAGCCCUUUUGGCGGGGACGAUGAUGACGGUACCCGCAGAAUAAGCCCCGGCUAACUUCGUGCCAGCAGCCGCGGUAAUACGAAGGGGGCUAGCGUUGUCCGGAUUUACUGGGUUUAAAGGGUGCGUAGGCGGACGAUUAAGUCAGUGGUGAAAGCCUGUAGCUUAACUACAGAAGUGCCACUGAAACUGGUUGUCUUGAGUACGGUUGAGGUUGUUGGAAUGCAUCAUGUAGCGGUGAAAUGCUUAGAUAUGAUACAGAACACCAAUUGCGAAGGCAGACAACUAAGCCGUAACUGACGCUGAGGCACGAAAGCGUGGGGAGCAAACAGGAUUAGAUACCCUGGUAGUCCACGCUGUAAACGUUGAUUACUCGCUGCUGGCGAUACACAGUCAGCGGCUAAGCGAAAGCGUUAAGUAAUCCACCUGGGAAGUACGAUCGCAAGAUUGAAACUCAAAGGAAUUGACGG
rnacentral:rRNA from 1 species